GACGAACGCUGACGGCGUGCUUAACACAUGCAAGUCGAACGAUGAAACCUAGCUUGCUAGGUCGAUUAGUGGCGAACGGGUGAGUAACACGUGACUAACCUGCCCCUUUCUCUGGGAUAACGCUCCGAAAGGAGUGCUAAUACCGGAUACUCACACCGAGGCACAUGCCUUGGUAUGGAAAGUUUUUCGGAAAGGGAUGGAGUCGCGGCCUAUCAGCUUGUUGGUGAGGUAACGGCUCACCAAGGCGACGACGGGUAGCCGGCCUGAGAGGGCGACCGGCCACACUGGGACUGAGACACGGCCCAGACUCCUACGGGAGGCAGCAGUGGGGAAUAUUGCACAAUGGGCGCAAGCCUGAUGCAGCGACGCCGCGUGAGGGAUGAAGGUCUUCGGAUUGUAAACCUCUUUCAGUAGGGACGAAGCGAAAGUGACGGUACCUAAAGAAGAAGCACCGGCUAACUACGUGCCAGCCGCCGCGGUAA
rnacentral:rRNA from 1 species